AAGGGUAUCCCAUUGAAAGGAUGUAUUUUGUUUACUAGGUCUUGUACUUUAUUGUUAGCAAGGUCUUUGUUCUUUGAAUUGAAGGUUUACACAUAAUUUAAUUAAAAUGAAAGAUUAACAAAAUGACAGAUCUUUGUGACAAGUUUUGAUGUCAGAUUUACAUAUCACUUUGUUAUUUAUUUGAAAAAACAGGUUGUCUUACAAGGUACUUUUCUUGCAAGAAUAUGUUAUAAUGUCUUUUAAAUUCUGCAAUGGAAAAAAUUGGUAGUGGUCAUAUAAAAUUAUGAUUUUAAUGUUUUAGAUAAUUGUGAAUGUUUCUGGGUGUUUUGUGUUUUAAGCUGCAUACAUAUGGCAGAGGGAAUAAUGUUGUCCAGCCAAUGCCUGAAAUAUGAAGGUGACCUGAGUUCUGUUUGUGUAUGUAUAGUAUGUCUGUGUGUGUGUUUAAAUCUCAGAUAUUACAAAAUAGAAUUUUGGAUUAGUUUUAAACUGCAUGGUGAUUUUUUUCUUUAGUAUUAAUUUAAGAAAACCUGAACAUGUUAUCAAAGGUAAAAGAGUUGCUAUGGACAAUAUACUACAGCAUAUUGAGAAAUGUGUGUUUCAGUUGUCAUUGAAUGCUAUUUUUAUAUAUUUUUUACUACAAUUGAAUAUCUUAGAGCAGGAGGAGUGACUUUUUUUCCUUAAAUAACUGAGACUGUCUCAUUUUAAGACAAAUGAAAUAGAGGUGAGAGUGAGGUAGGAAGAUCUGAAGAAGAAGAGGUUACUGUGGCUGUAUGUGAUCAGAGAAUAGUGGAAGAAAUGUUAUUAUUUAUAAUGGGCAUUGAAGGAUGUGUAUAUUAUUACUUCUUUGUUAGCACUUUCACUGUUUAUUAUGUCUUGUACAUUUCUGUCUUCCAUAAGAACUGGCAUCAGUGCCUAGCUCAGGUUACAUGUCCACAGAAUUUUAGGCAAUUGAAUUGGAUCUUAACAUGUAUAAUUUAUUAAUUUAUUACAGUGUUUGCAAAGAAUCAUUGCAUUUCACACAUUUUGACCAGAAAAGAACAUAAACUUAAUGGUUAAGUGUCGAAUUGACUGCUAUAUUAUAUAUGCUCUGCAAUUUAGUAGUGGUCUAACCUUGGGCAAGUUACUUAAUCUUUAUGAGUGUCAGUUUCUUCAUCUGUAAAACAGGAAUAAUAUAUCUGUCUCACAGGGCUUUUAUGAAGAUCAGAUACUCAGUGUAUGUAAAGUACAUGAUGCUCUAUAAAUGCUGGCUGCUGCCAUCUUCAUCAUCAUCAAUAAAAGUUUUCUUGGGCUAAUGAAUAAAUAAAUCUCUUUGUUUUAAACCAAAGCUGCCACUAACUUUAUUUCUUGAUGAAAUUAACCUUUUCCCUUUUCUUUCAUUCUUUCUUCCUUUAAUUUUUGAUCAUAUUUUUCAUAUGUAUGCUUCUGAGAAUAGAGGAGGGAAAGGAUAGCCUGGAAAGUCCUUUAUUUUUUUUUCUCUCCAUGAACUAGGGAAGGCAUUCCUUUAGCUUUAGGAUAAUAACCUGAAACUCACUGGUGUGGACUGAGACUCUUCCAUGAGGGAAAACACACACCUAUAUACACACAUACAUAUAUGCGUUCUCCAGGUAUACGUUCACUGCUUUAUUUCUCGUGACUAUCGUAUGUUAAGUCUGAGUAGCUAAAUGGAAUUUAUAGCUUGGAAGGAUACAAUUUUGACUCUAUAUUUGAUAUACUUUAAGCAUCAUAGCUUUGGCAGUGUUUAACUCUGGGAUGCUUGAGUCCUCCCAGCUUCUUUAUUGUGUCUUCAAAACAUGUCUCUGUGUCAGUUAUAUCUUUAGGCAGUAGGAAUGAAUGAGUAAUGCUUCAAGUAAAAGAGUCAUGUUUUUAAUUCAUUCAUAUUAUUCAGGAAAUCUAUACAGAUGUGAGAUCCAACUCAUUUGAGAUAUAGGCUGGAGUACAUUUGUAUUUUUCUGUCUGUUGCUGUUUUAAAAUUUUGAAUGAACAUUUGGUUACCCUUAUGACUUGCAGAGCUAGAGAACCAUUUUCCUUAACGGACACUUGGGAAGAGCAGCAGCACAGGAAUGUAAAGGAUAUUUUCAUCUCGUAUGCAGACUUAAGUGACCCUCUUUCUCUGUGUUGCCUGUCUCCCCUGUGGCAUUUUGUGGGUUUGGUCCCUACUUCUUAUAUAUUGUAAACAACAGACGUAUAGUGGAAUGUACAACCACGGUCAACCUGGUUAAAAACAGGCCCUCUCCAAGGGACAUGUGCCCUAGCUAUAAAGGAACAGUUAUCUACCAUACCUCUGUUCCCCUCAGUGAACUGCUGCUGGGAAGCUUUACUUUUUCUCCAUGUUUUUAUGAUCUGGUAUUCUAUUCUUUGUACUCUUGUUAUAUCUGAUUCCUUGAUGUUAAUUUUUACAUAACUUCUGUUAUUAAGGACCACACACUGCUCUUCCCCCAAACAUUUGCUCUGUUCUGAAUGAGAAUUAGGGAAUUCUAGACAGGUUAGAGUAUUAGGUAAAAGGAACAUGAGUAUGGAACAUGUUUUAAAAACCAAAUUUGUUAAAGGAAGGGAGAAAUUUUAUUAAAAGGAAGAUUAAAAGUUAUCGCUGGUUAGUUUAUGAUGCAGAGUAUCAUAAAGUACACAGUUGUCAUGCUUAAGAAAUUGACAUUUGUUUAAAACAGGAAACAGGUAAAAUUCUUUCAAAUGUAUGGGUUUUUUUUUCCAUCAAAUGUAUGUUUUACAAUGUAGUUAUCCUGAAAGUACACAUAUAUUAAAAUAAUUCUGAGAGGAUUAGAGUCAGUGCAAAUUGUAAGAGAAUAUUUUGAUAGUAUUUACAAUACGUAUGAGCUGCUGAACUGAAAACUUACAGUAAUUCACUGAAAAGCAUGGUUUCUAAGAAUCUCUUUCUUCUCAUUCCCUUCCAACAUACACAUGAAAAGUGUAGCCUGAGGUGAAGUUUUAAUUGCUGUCACUUUAGAUAACAUUGUUGUACUGGCCUCCUUUCUGUUAGAACAUUUCUGUCUGGAGGCUUUCCUGUUUUGCUACUAAUUUUAUCAUGAAAACUGGAUGAUUCUAGCUUUUCCUAUAGUAUUUUGAUAGAUAUUCUAGUUGUUUUCAGUUAAUUUUCUUACUGUUUGCCUACUGCAUUUAGCAAAGUAAGAUUAUUUUCCUGUUCCACACAUACCUCAAAACAAGUUUUCUGAGUUUUUGGGCUUUUUUGUUUUUUUUGUUUUACUUCAUUAGGGGGCAGUAGAGCUCUUUGCUUACCUAACCUCUGGCACUCACAGUGUUAUUUGAAAUAACAUUCAAAAUAAUUUGUGAAGUCAGUAGUUGUGGGAAAUGCUAAGUGUUUACAUUUCUAAUCUGUAUAUAACAAUAGAGUUCUCUUGUUAUCAUCAACAAAAUUAGUGCCUAUUAAUCAGAUAUAUACAGAACAAAUAAAUAAAAUCAUCCUGAUUUCAAUAUUUGCUAAUUUGCAUAUGAUCAUUUGCCAAAAUGAAAUUUAUUAAAAAGCCUUCUACACUGUUGAUUUUUUUGGUUACAUUCUGCCACCUGUAUUAACUUCUUUAUGAGAAAAGAGAAUACAAUAAUCCCAAAGAUAGUUGAAUGGCUGUGUUAGGUUAGAGCAUAACUGGUUCCAGACUAGUCAUAGACAGUUGAAAUUUCUUUAUAGAGAAUAGCAAUUUUAUAUGUAACAGAUUUGGUAAUUUGGAUGGCAUCAACACUUUAACUGAAUAUCCUAAAAACGCUAAAAUAUUUGAAUUUUACUACUAAUCUUGCAUUUUCCUCAGUUAAUUUGCUGUUCAAGACAAUCAUAUUUUGUAAAUGCAGUGAUUCUAAAUUCUUUUUGUUCAUCCUUUAAGAAAGAAUCCUUGUGUUUCAUUCUUUUUUUCUUCUUCUUUUGAAACAACUGAGAUAAAGUCACCUUGACAAGAGAACUUUCUAAACAUUUAUCUAAGUGUUCCAUUGGAUUGUGCUCAGGUUGCAGAAGGGUAAUUAUGGUCUUGAGUGAACUUAGGACUUUUAAUACCAAUUUUUAAAAUUAGAGGUCUUCAUUCUUAUUUUCAAAAUGUAUGACAAAUUCUAUUUAGAUUGAGAAAAAGGGGGAAAAAAGCCUUUUUUUUUAAUUGCUUACUCUAUGUAGUUACGGUAUUACCUCCUUUGAUAUUUAAAAAACAUCUCUUCCAGGUAUGAAUUCUUAUUAUUAUCUGUAUUUUAUAGAUAGAUGGAGAAAUGGAAACAUGUAGUGGUUAGUUUAUUUUCCUAGGUUAUUCCCAACUAAUAAACAGAGCUAGGAUUUGAAGUCAGGCAAUUUUAUUUCAGAGACCUAUGCUAUAUUUAUUGCUAGGAUACUGUAUCAUUUUGCUUAUUUAAUAACUUAGCAGUUAUCCUGUAAUAUGUGUAUAUGUUUCAAGGUGUCGAAAGCUUUUCUAAAAUGCAAUGAUUGUUUUAUUAUUGUUUUUCAUAAAACUACAAUUACAUGGAUUCUAAAUUUCCUUUUUGACUAAAUUGAAACAAUUUUACACUAAAGUCAAUGAAAGACACAUAUAUUCUUUUAUGUGGUAAGUAAAGUUGUAUGUUUUGAUGUUGUCUCAGUUUAAUAGACACUGCAUUUAUUAACAGACCUUAUUGUAAGGGCUAUAUGACAUCAUUGAUGUUGACGUGUCGUGAACAAAGAAAUAGGGUAUAUCAUUAAAAACACAUCCUUAGCUGUAUAUAUGACAGGUUUUUCAGUAAGAGAAAAACACACAUAUGCUGUUCAAAUCAUGAACUGUUUGUAUUAGAAAUUUAAAGUAUUUUGAUCUUCUUAAAGGUAAUGUUUGUAUUGACUGAUUCGGAAGGACCUUCAGAUUUUUCUGAGCUGCUUUGAUGAACAGGUCUAAAUUUUACAAAUGUUGUAUUUUUAUUAAUCUAAUCUAGUGAAUAUGUUUCAGCAUAUUCUUUUGAUAAUUUAAAUUUAUUUUUCUGUGUUACAAUAUUUGUGUAUAUAUUUAUAAUGGACAUUUUGGAAAAUAUAGGGGAAAAAAGCCAAUUAAAAUCAAGUGUAAUUCUAGUACCCACAGCAUUGUUAUGUUUUGUUAUAUGACCUUCCAGUCAUUUUUUUCCUAUACCUCUGUUAUAAGUGAUUUUUUAAAAAACAGUGAUGUUUGCAUUUGGUUUAAGAAAAAGAAUUGAAGUUUUGUUAUUACUGUUCAGUACUGUUAUUACUGUUCAGUGGUAUGAGAAGGUAGUCUCAUUCAUCAGUCAGAACUUUUUUUUUCGUUUUUGAUAAAUAGCAGUUAUUCAUUUUCUAAAGUAUACUAUCUUAUGAUCUGAAAAGACAUUCUAUAAAGUCUUGGGCUUUUUUACUCACUGAUUUUGAUCAGAAAUUUAUAAAGUUAGCUUUGUAUAAUGAGCAGGUCUGUGUCAAGAUACUUUUAUUUGUGUCAUUUGGGAUGGUUUUAUUCAGGGUUUAGAAUUUUAAGACAGGUCAGUGGUUUUUACUUUUGAAAUGAAAUGAUUGAUGAAUAUUGCUUGUCUUUUAAAGAAGAUGUUUCUGGUUCUUUUUUUAUUACCUAAGUUGUAUACAUUUAUUUUGAAAAUUUUAUAGAUAUGGAAAGAAAAAGUCACAGAUUUACCACCACUGUGCAGUCUCUUUUAUUUCAGUGUUCAUUCAAUAGCUACUUUCUUUUUUUUUUAAUAGCUACUUUCUUUUGAAAGUCUUCUUUGAUUUUAUAUUCUGCUUUCUUCAUUUAACUCUGUAACAGACCUUUUCCAUAUUCAGACUCAUCACUAAUAUAUUAAAUGAUUGACUGCAUCACGUUUUGGCUAUGACUUACUACAAUUUGCUACCAGUUCCUCUGUUGUCAAAUAAUGAGUUUGCUUCCAGUAUUUUCCUAUUAUAUUGUGAUAAACAUCUUUGUGUAUAAAUGCAUGGUAGGUGUUCAGUAAACACUUAUUGAAUGAUGAAUGAACAAAUGAAUGAAUGAAUAAAGCAUCCUUGGAACUUAUGGUUAUUCUUCAGGAGUGUAAUUACUGGGUGAAAGGGUGUAAACUAAAAAAAGGUCUUUACUAUAGUUUGAUAAUUGGCUUUUCAUAAUCGUUUUAGGAACACACACACUCAAAGGUGGCAUUCAAAGAAUAUAAGAGCUUCUGGAGAAAAGUGUAACAUUACUAUCUCAAAAGUAGGCUCUUUGAUAACUAGUUAAUUAUUUUGGAUAAUUUUAGGAGACCAGUGAAAGGCCCUGGUAUUUUUGUAAGAUUAUAGAGCCCUCUCAUUUAUAAUUUCUUUAUUCCUUUGGUAUACACAUUAAAGAAGCUUUUGUUGUAUGUGUUUUAUUUUAUUAUAGAACAUGUAGAAGCAAUCUCAUAAAAUAUUCUAGCAGUUAGAGUAAAUAGAAACAACCCUUAUUUGGUAGACAAUUGCCCAUAUACUUUGAAAAAAAAAGCCUGGUUCUUUGCAAUCAAAUUUAUUUAUUUAAGUAAUCCUAAGGCUUUGUGACUCUAGUUUUCUGAUUCUUAAUUUUGUUUUGUAUCCUUUUUCAUUGUGAUCAGUUUCUCAAUGAUAGUAUCCUUUAAGGUGUCAUGUGUUCUAAAUGAGAGCAAUACAAAGCUCUUUCCUUAAUUUAUUGUGGUUUCUUUUUUUUUAGUUUUGUGAUCAGUAUGACUUUCUUAAAGAUCUUAGUAUUCAAGUAUAUUGAAGUGUUCAAAUAAUACGUGUAUAGCUCCUUGGUAUCACAAAAUGAACCCCCUUAUAUGCGUGUGAAGAGUAUGUAUGUAUAAGUCUUUUUCUGUACUUUAGAUUGCCUAAUGGAAAGUCUGCAUUUAUCUAUGGAUAAGACUUUUAAGCUAGCAAAAAUACUGUUUUAGACAUUGUGUAUUUUUGAUGAGUAAAAACGAAAUAUUAAUACACAGAGUGUGAUGGAAGUUAGUAUUCAUGUGGAGAAAAUGAUAAAAACGACUUGGGAGGAGAAAAUCUUUUAAAAAAUACUCCAUGUAUUUCAUAAUUUAAAAAAUCAUCUUUUUACUAAAAUUCUUUUCAAAAAUUUUGUGAGGGCUUCCCUGGUGGCGCAGUGGUUGAGAGUCCGCCUGCCGAUGCAGGGGACACGGGUUUGUGCCCCGAUCCGGGAAGACCCCACAUGCCGCGGAGCGGCUGCGCCCGUGAGCCAUGGCCGCUGAGCCUGCGCGUCCGGAGCCUGGGCUCCGCAACGGGAGAGGCCAUAACAGUGAGAGGCCUGCGUACCAGAAAAAAAAAAAAAAAAAAAAUUGUGAAAUUUCAAAGUAGGCAAACAGUAUCACCCUCACUUGUCUUUCCUAGCUUCUGAACUUCUUUACUUUUUUGAAAUCUGGAGGCAAUUGAUAAUUGUAGAAUUCCUCAAACAUAAUAGAAUAUGUUUAAAAGUACCUUUAAAUUUUGUUUAAUGUAUUUUUAUGGAUUAGAAAUGAUAGUAAUGUAAAUGAGUGGCUUAUGUACUUUGAAAUAAAAGUGUUAACAGUGAAUUAGACAUCUGAACAAAUAAAAUUCAAUAAAUUAAAGUUCAAUAAAUUAAAUAAGCAACAACUUUUAAAAUAGCUCAAAUUCAAUUCAAGAAACAUUUAUUAAACCUUUACCAUGCAUGAGGUACUAGGCAAGGUAUUUGUGAUAUAGGCAGGUUUUAUUUUCAAUCAUGGAGCUUAUGGUCUAAAAGGGAAUGCAUACAUUAAGCCGGUAAAUAUAUUUAAGUUUAGUGACUGUUACAAAAGGAAAUACAUGGAACUGUGGAAACUGACAGCAAGGAGUUGGAGACUGCAACAGGCAGGGGAGUUUCAGAUGGAGGAAAGAACACAUGAAAAAGGAUAGGGGCUUAUCUUCUGAGCAUGUUGAGUAUGAGGUAGCUGAGAUAUCCAGGUGGAGAUUGUUUGGAUGGCAGUUGGUGAGGUGGGGAGUGGAUUAUAGACUAGAAAUUGAGACUUGGAAAUCAUCGAGGUUUUGAUUAUCACUUCAGUUAUGAGAUGGAAGAGGUUAGUCACUUAGGGAGGAAGUGUAGAACCUGAUGAACUCCCAAAUUUAAAAGGCAAGUAGAGCUACAGGAGCUUAUCACAGUGAUUGGGAAAGGAGCAGCCAGCGACCAAAGCAAGAGAGUAUUUUGUCGGGGGUGAAUAAUGUUACAUGCUGUAAGAGGUAAAAGAGAGAAAAAAAAAAGAUACUAAUUUAACCCUCACAGCUGUGAAUUAAGUACUAGUAUUUUCCCUAGCUUGUAGAUUAAGAAGACUAGUCUCAGUGGUUAAGUAUCUUUCCCUAGAUUGGAUAUUAGAAAGUAAUAUGGGCAAGAUUUGAACCCAGGUCCACCUGCCACAAUAGCCUGAACUUAUAAUCACUAUAUAGCAGUUUAAAAAAAAAAUGAAUUUAGUGUCAUGGAGGUCACUGGUGAUCGCUGUGUGGGGCAGGAGAAGGAGGUGUUUCGAGACAGAGGGCGGUAUUGAAUACUGUUGAGGGGCCAGGAAAGAGAAGAACAGACAUACAUAUAUGACUUGGAUUUGGUUAGAUGGACUUCUCUGAUAACCUUGGUAAUUGUGGUCUCAAUCACAAUUGAGAGGCAAAAGAAUCCUGAUUGGAGUAAAUUGAGGAAAGAAAAUGAGGCAAAAAAGUGAAAGCAACCACCUACGUAACUCCUUCAAGAAACAGAAACGGAAUAGUCAAUGUAGGGGAAUGUGGAUUCAGUGACUGGAGAUACUAGAGGAGGUUUGUAUGCCGAUUCCACAUCCAUUGCGGAGAAAUUGACGCUGCAGGACAGAGAGGGAUACAAGUUCCAUGAGAAAGUGAGACGUAAGAGGGCCAGAGCACAAAUGAAAGGGUUGGACUUUGAUGAGAGUGGGAACACAUUAUUUGUUGUAACAGAAAAAAGAAAGAGAA